ensembl:lncRNA
CAGCUUGCAUGUUAGAGCACACCAACAGCUUUUCCGUCUCCAAGAAACCCAACAGUCCUCAUGAUCCAUAAUUGAUGGCCGCCACACAGGACCUAGCAGACACAAAGUUAAAAAAUACUCCAGGAAACAGCAAAACCCCAUCAGCGCACAAACAAAACCUCCUGCAUGACGCUGCUCCUUAAAUAGAUCUUCAUUAAUUCGAGUUUUGUGGGGUUGGCGGCCCCACCCGGAAGGUACCAGUGUCUCUAGUAUCAAAGACAGGAAGUGGGCUCCAACCAAGGCGCAGAUGCCAUAACCCCUGCAGAGGGUACAAGCGCUCUGCUCCAUCUGGACACGUAGCGGCGUGAGCGGGCGGCAGAAAACAAGCAGAGCUGAGGUGGAGAGGCGGCAGAGUGUCUGGUCGGCCGAGUUCAAAAGGGAGUAAUGAGGGAGCAGCUUUGAAGUGCAGGGAGCACAGAACAUCGAGGAGAAGACCACCUCCAUUGGAGCUCGGGUUCUAAGUGGGUCAGAUGGAUGUCCCUCUGGUGUGAGCUGUGCAUCUUGUUUCAUUGCUACUGGAGCAGGCGAAUAUCCUCCGGGCCAGCGGGUUUAUUGCGUGUCACAGCCUGUGAGAUGGGAAUACAGUCUUUGCUGCAUCUGUUGCAGACAAUAUACCUUUUGAUCAACUGCACGACAGCCAUCUCCAGACUUCUUUUCAUUCCUCUUUUCAUGCACAAGUUCAGAGAGAAGCGUAUCUAUACAAAUAUAUGUAUAUUAUCAGCACUGCUGACCGAAAGAAAGUAUCUUUUAAAUCAUCCUUCAGUUUAGACCUUUCUUUCCUUUUGCAAUUAGUUCAAAAUGCACAAGUGUGGAAUUCAAAGUGUUAUGCAGGAUUCUUUAUCACAUGCUUGAUGUUUCAUCUCACAGCAGCCUGUUGGUGAAGAUGCUACUUGUUUCAGGAUUUGAUCAAAAUCUUCUUUGCUUGUGUUAUUAAAAAAAAAAACAUGUAA